UGGCGGCAGGCCUAACACAUGCAAGUCGAGCGGUAACAUUUCUAGCUUGCUAGAAGAUGACGAGCGGCGGACGGGUGAGUAACGCGUAGAAAUCUACCUAGUAGUGGGGGAUAGCCCAGAGAAAUUUGGAUUAAUACCGCAUACGCCCUACGGGGGAAAGCGGGGGAUCUUCGGACCUCGUGCUAUUAGAUGAGUCUGCGUCGGAUUAGCUUGUUGGUGAGGUAAUGGCUCACCAAGGCGACGAUCCGUAGCUGGUCUGAGAGGAUGACCAGCCACACUGGAACUGAGACACGGUCCAGACUCCUACGGGAGGCAGCAGUGGGGAAUAUUGCACAAUGGACGCAAGCCUGAUGCAGCCAUGCCGCGUGUGUGAAGAAGGCCUUAGGGUUGUAAAGCACUUUCAGCAGUGAGGAAAGGGGUGUCGUUAAUAGCGCCAUCCUGUGACGUUAACUGCAGAAGAAGGACCGGCUAACUCCGUG
rnacentral:rRNA from 1 species